rnacentral:rRNA from 1 species
CAAUAGCGUAUAUUUAAGUUGCUGCAGUUAAAAAGCUCGUAGUUGGAUUUCGGGUGGGAAUGGCCGGUCCGCCGUUUCGGUGUGCACUUGCUACGCCCACCUUGCUGCCGGGGACGUGCUCUUGAGUUCACGCUCGGGACACGGAGUCGGCGAGGUUACUUUGAGUAAAUUAGAGUGUUCAAAGCAGGCCUACGCUCUGAAUACAUUAGCAUGGAAUAACACGAUAGGACUCUGGCCUAUCUUGUUGGUCUGUAGGACCGGGGUAAUGAUUAAGAGGGACAGUCGGGGGCAUUCGUAUUUCAUUGUCAGAGGUGAAAUUCUUGGAUUUAUGAAAGACGAACUACCGCGAAAGCAUUUGCCAAGGAUGUUUUCAUUAA